GAUGAACGCUGGCGGCGUGCUUAACACAUGCAAGUCGAACGGGAUCCAUCAGGCUUUGCUUGGUGGUGAGAGUGGCGAACGGGUGAGUAAUGCGUGACCGACCUGCCCCAUACACCGGAAUAGCUCCUGGAAACGGGUGGUAAUGCCGGAUGCUCCGACUCCUCGCAUGGGGUGUCGGGAAAGAUUUCAUCGGUAUGGGAUGGGGUCGCGUCCUAUCAGGUAGUCGGCGGGGUAACGGCCCACCGAGCCUACGACGGGUAGCCGGCCUGAGAGGGCGACCGGCCACAUUGGGACUGAGAUACGGCCCAGACUCCUACGGGAGGCAGCAGUGGGGAAUAUUGCACAAUGGGCGCAAGCCUAAUGCAGCGACGCCGCGUGCGGGAUGACGGCCUUCGGGCUGUAAACCGCUUUUGAUCGGGAGCAAGCCUUCGGGUGAGUGUACCUUUCGAAUAAGCAC
rnacentral:rRNA from 1 species